GAGUUUGAUCCUGGCUCAGAGCGAACGCUGGCGGCAUGCUUAACACAUGCAAGUCGAGCGAGAAAAUGGCUUCGGCCAUGAGUACAGCGGCGGACGGGUGAGUAAUACAUGGAUAAUCUGCCUUUAGGACUGGGACAACCCAGGGAAACUUGGGCUAAUACCGGAUAAGACCACAGAAUCUCCGGAUUCAGUGGUAAAAGGUGGCUUCGGCUAUCACCUAUAGAUGAGUCCAUGUCCCAUCAGGUUGUUGGUGAGGUAACGGCUCACCAAGCCUAAGACGGGUAGCCGACCUUAGCGGGUGAUCGGCCACACGGGGACUGAGACACGGCCCCGACUCCUACGGGAGGCAGCAGUGGGGAAUAUUGGACAAUGGGCGCAAGCCUGAUCCAGCAAUGCCGCGUGAGGGAUGAAGGCCUUCGGGUCGUAAACCUCUGUCAGUUGGAACGAUGGGUUUGUAGGUUAAUACCCUGCAAACUUGACGGUACCUUCAAAGGAAGCCCCGGCUAACUCCGUGCCAGCAGCCGCGGUAAUACGGAGGGGGCAAGCGUUGCUCGGAAUUACUGGGCGUAAAGGGUCCGCAGGUGGCUUUGUAAGUUAGAUGUGAAAAUC
rnacentral:rRNA from 1 species